UAGACUAUAUGCUUGGUGACUUUUGCUGGCUGGCAAGCUGGACCUGUGGCUGGCAUGGGUUAGGGGAACCUGGUACUUUCCACAUAGUGAGUCCCUUGUCAGGACAGCUAAAACUGAAGCAGAUUAAGGUCAGGAUGUCCCAGGGUUCUGUGUGUGGAGAGCACACUAGCAGGACAGCUGAAUCUGAAAUGGGUGCAAGUCAGAGUGUCCCAGGGUGCUCUGUGCAGGGGGUACCUUGGCAGAAUGGCUGGAGCUGAUGCAGUGUACAGGCCAGGAGAUCCCUGAGCUCUCUAGGCAGAAGGUACCCUAGCAGGAGAGUUGAAACUAAAGUGGGUCCAAGCUGGGGGGACAAGGGGCUCUCCACACAGAGGCACCUUGGAAAGACAGCUGAAGCAGAAAUGGAUAUAAACUUGGGUGUUUCUGGAAUUUCCACACAGAGGGUGCCCUGAAUAAUGGCAGUUGUUGGUGUGGGGUAUAGGUUGGGAGGUCCUGGGGUGUUCCAUGCAGGGGUCGUCUUGGCAGGACAACUAAAGCAAAGAUGUGGUCCCUGGGCUCUCCACACACAACAUGCCCUGGCAGGACCGCUGAAACUGAAUUGGGAGCAAGUCAGGUUGUCCAAUGGAGACACCCUGGCUGGGUGGCUGGAGCUGAGGUUGGCAUGGGUGUAAGUGUUCUGGGGUGCUCUACACAGGUGUGCCUUGGCAGUAGCUGAAGCAGAUGUCAGCCAAAAAUGGUGAAGCACUCUGCACUGUGGGUGCCCUAGCAAGUCACUGGAAGCACAAGUGGUGUGCGCCUGGAGUGUUCUGGGAUGUCUGCACCUGUGUCACCUUGAUGUGAAGACUGGGGCUGGAGUGAGCACUAACCAGGGGUGUCCUGGUGUGUACGACUUUGUGGCUGCCUAGGUAGGACAGCUGGGGCUGGUGUGGGCUAAGGGCUCAGGGUUCACUGAGGCAGGAGGCCAGUUAGGGUGCCAGAUGUGCACUGGUCUGUGCUUUCAAGGUGGAGGGAGAGUGCAGACCAUGUACAUAAGCUCCUCCCACCCAGAGAGCAUUCUAGCAGCUCUCCCCACUGUUUGGUGGAGUUCUAGAGUUGACUCCUUUAUAUGCUAGUUGCUCUUUUAAACCAUGGCUUUUAGAGAAAGGUGAUGAUGAUGAUGAUGAUGAUGAUGAU